ensembl:lncRNA
UGGGUACAAAGGACAAGGGGAACCCCGAGACCGUGAAGCAGUGGGUGGUGGUGGAGAAGAAAUCACAUUCGCGUCUCCAGGCCCUCUCCCGCCUCCGAGACCAGCCCCUUCUCCCUGCCUGCCAGCUCCCAACAUUGGGGCCAUUGACGGGGCCCCUCACCAGCUGCCUGCCCUCUCCCUCACUUCAACCAGCUCCCUCUGCUGGACCAAGCCCAAGAGUAGGACCCAGCUGCAGCUCCAGAUGUGGAAGGCACAUGCUGGGGGAGGGGAGGAAGGGGAGCCUGCCUCCCAGCCUCUUGCAUCACCCUCAGAUGAGGAAGCCACAUCAGAGAUUCAGAAAAGGGCACAGGCUACGGGCAGAGGGCACAUCUUUGGUGCCAUCCUCCUCCCUUCCCCUCCCCCACCCAACCAAAAGAACUGCUCUAUCUGUAGCCCACAUCCCAGUUUGGUUUGGUCAGACCAAAAAGCAAAAGAUAAUUUCAAGGGCAGAUUUCAAGGGCAAAUCAACACCCUCUACCCCAAUCUGACGGAAAGCAGCAGCACCACCUCGGGUGUCCUUGGGUAGGAGGGGCAGGGGUGGGGGAGGGCCUGGCAGGACCCGGCACUCUCAGUAGCAUUUGAACCAAGAGGAAGAGCUCUCUGGGGCCAGUGCCUCCCCGACCCUGGAGCAGGAGACCAGCAGAGUGCUGAGCAGUCAGACCCUGGACAUGCUCUUCCAACCAAGAUGCGAACAGGGGAGGAGACUGACAUUUGUGGACCAUCUACACGAACAGGCACUUUGCACGCCUGUGCGCAUGUCAUGCUCAGCACCUGUGAGCUCGGCUUUAGUAGCAGUGCAGUGUUAGUCGCUCAGUCAUGUCCAGCUCUGUGACCACAGGGCACAUGGUACUGAGCCCGGAGGAGCCAGGAAGCGCCUGGGCUGCAGCUUGGGCAUCCUAGAAGUCAGGACCUCCGGAUGACUCUCUCCUGGGCCACCAGGGAGCCGCAGGGCAGCCUGCUGACCGGAUCCUGUCUCCUGGAGCUGCCGGCCUAAGGCAAGGAGACCGAGGCCCAGGGAGGUGAAGAGACGUGUCCAGGGUCACGCAGCGCGCUGCUGAACUGGCACCCGAAACCCCAGAGGGGGCAGUGCCCCCACAGUGCAGCGGGAGGCACGGGCUGAACACCCGGCUGCUAGUGCGAGCUCACGGUUUGCAGAAGAGCCGAGUCUGCACAAAGGGACAGAAGACAGCCGGAAGCGGGAGUCACGGAGACGCGGCGAGACCCCUCUGGCAGUGUGACCAGGGCAAGUUAGGGAGCUGUGCCCAUUGUCUGCUCCACACCCCAGAAUGGGGACAGUCUGCUCCCUCACCAUGGGCUGCCACGGGCUGGAAAUGGGGUGGCCUGGGCAGAGCGUCCAGCACAAGGCUCCACCCAGGAUGGAAGUGAAUUUUCUUCACUCCUGUCCCUUCUUCUGCGAGCCCCACCGUCUGACUGGACAGAGGGCCAACCUGUCGUAAGAUGAACAGGAAGUGGGGCAUGAGUGUGUGUGAGGCUGGGCACAGGGGGUGUGCCACGGUUGCCUGCCCAAGGGGUCCUUGUCGCUGGGGGCGGGGAGGAUGUCCAGCCUCCGUCAGUGGAGGGGCCGGGAGUCAGGUAGGUGUCUGCAGGGCGGGAGGGCCCCUGGCACGCCGGUCCCCUGUGGAGCACGGAUGCCCCAGGUUCAGCCUCCCCGGCGCCACCUGGAGGGCAUCUAAGCUUUAUUUUACCUGCCCAAGGGCUCUCCCGGGCCGAAGAUGUUAAUGCACUUUCUCUUUCACUCCUCACAGUCUGUGAGGCAAACACUCAUUGUCCUCAUUUUGCAGAAGAGGAAAUGGGCUCAGAGGUCACUUGGCUAGUAUCUGGUCAUUAGUGUCUCCGGCAAGUAUUUCCGGCUCGCUGCCUCUGGCACAGGGCAGGCCGGCGUGUCCUCACUCUGGUGUGAGCUGUGGCUCUGUGACUUCCUUUGACCAAUGAAAUGCGAGUAGAACUCACAAGUAUCGCUUGUAGGUGGACGCUUCGCACACCCUGGCACCGCACACAAAUGCACGUGGUUUAGGGUGUCCACUAGGAACUGAGCCUACGAGCUGGUGUGUUACUUGGGCCGCGCCCCCCUCACCCCACACGCACGCCUGUACCGACACCCCUAGAAGGCGCAGAGCUGGCGUUCUGGUCUUAAAAGAUGCCCAGGGCCCCGAGUCUCUCAGGACUCCAGCUCCUCACACAGAACCACAGGCGCCCCUUUGGGGUUCUGGCCUCCAGGCUACGUGGAGCCCUGCCGGCAGGUAGAAGGGGGCAGGCGUCCUCAGGAACCACUCAGGGAAGCAAUUUGGAAAACCCCAGGGCCCUUCCGCGCCACUGGCCGUCUCCUGCCAAGGAGCGGUCAUGGACGGGGUGUCAGGACACACCUGUGCUAAUGCUGUGAGGCCCAGGGCCCGAUGGUGGACUCUUGUCUGACACUCGGAAAUGAACCGUCCGAGGAGACACGUGUGCUGACAAAGCAAGAAACUAUAGGGAGGGGCACCCAGGCAGAGAGCAGGAGGGCGAGGGAAGCAAGGAGAAGCGCUCCGCCCUGUGGCUCGCAGUCUCAGGCAUUAUGGUGAUGGGGUUAGUUUCUGAGUUGUCUCUGGCCAAUCAUUCUGACUCAGGGCCCUUCCUGGGAGCAGGCAUCACUAGCUGCCUCCUUCUCCCAGGAGGAUUCUGGGAGGUGGUAGGAUGUAUAGACUGGUGACCUUCUCCAGAUUCUUCUGGUUGGUGAGAGCUUGUUGGUUCCAAGUUCCUUCCCUGGCCCUCCUGUUGUCAGAUCACUCAUGCAGGUGGUUACCAUGGUGCCUGGCCAGGGUGGUGGUCUUGGACAGCGGCUCCCCUAACUUUGGCCCUGGCCCUGCUCAUUCAGCCUUCCCCGCGGCACUCUGUCAGUCCUCUCUGCAACAGGGCCUCUGCAAAGGGCUGGGUAACUGCCCAGAGACCCCAGACAGAUCUGUCUUCUCAGAGACAAAGUACCAGCUGCUGCCAUUUCUGACCAUGGUGCUGGCCAUCGAAGAAUUGAUGCCUUUGAACCGUGGUGUUCGAGAAGACUCUUGAGAGUCCCUUGGACUGUAAGGAGAUCCAACCAGUCCAUCCUAAAGGAAAUCAAUCCUGAAUAUUUGUAGGAAGGACUGAUGCUGAAGUUGAAGUUCCAGUAUUUUGGCCACCUGAUGCAGAGAGCCAACUCAUUGGAAAAGACCGUGAUGCUGGGAAAGAUUGAAGGUGGGAGGAGAAGCGGACGACAGAGGAUGAGAUGGUUGGAUGGCAUCACCGACUCAAUGGACAUGAGUUUGAGCAAGCUCUGGGAGUUGGUGAUGGACAGGGAGGCCUGGAAUGCUGCAGUCCCUGGGGUCACAAAGAGUCGGACACGACUGAGCAACUGAACAAGAAGAAAGGGUUAUCAACCAAGAGCUGUGAGGUCAGUUCUGCUUGGGGACUUUCUGAAGACUGUAGCCAGGAGACAGGCUCUUGGCAGCAACACGGAGCUGCUCAGAAGACGUGAGAACAAGUCAGCCUCCUGUGAUUUGGAGAAGGGGUAUGUGCCCCCGAGCAUACAUCUCACUAAGGGUUUGCUAGUCACGGGGGACAGAUGUCUCCGAUGACGAUUUUAGUGCUUUUCUAGGUGUCAGAAGAUACAAGAAAUUAGGCUCAUAAAAUCUGAAACAAUCUAAUGCUGAAGGUCAGCUCUGCAGGCUUUUCCUGGAGCACAGAGGGCCUCAUUUCUGAUCUCUGCCCUGAGCUCUUUCAGGGGGUGUUGAAGGUUGGCGACUGCAGUGGCCAGUGACGUCAUUCUUAUGGAACCAGGUGGAGAGUGGCCUUGUCAAAUGAACAGAGUUUCCUGCGGUCAUCAGAGAAGGCCCACUAGAGGAGACGGGCUGGGACGGAGGAGGGAGGUUGCUGGGUGCACAGAGGUGCUGAGGGCAUUGGGGUACGCGUGCUUGGGCGGGCGCUGGGCAGGGCGUGGCCCAGAUCAGUAGUGGGUGUGGUGGGGCUGGAUUAGGGACUGCCCUGCCAUCCUCCUGAUAACGGGAAGUCAGCAGCUCCAGAGGGGUGUCUGGGCCCUUGCUGGACCCCUGGCCUGAAAGCUAACUUGGCCUUUCCUGGAAUGAGUUUAUUAAUAGCCCACAUCCUGGAUGGUGUUGCAAGGCUGAAUGAGACAUUGCGUCAGGCACGAAAGGAACAGGGUUUGAUAAGGUCGCUACUAUCAUUCCGUGAUGACAGAACGGUAAACUGGUGGAGGCGUUUUAAAGGGCACGUGACUAGAAGUGGGCUGGGCGGCCCCUCCACUGGGCCUGCCUGUCUCCCGGGCCUCCUCCUGGAGCCGGGCUCCUCGCACGGACUCCGACACGCGUUCCUCCUCUGGGUCUUGGCUUCCUUUCUGACCACAAUGAGAUCUCCUCUUCUGAUCAUUUUAAACAAAAGUGCUUUGCUCUCCCUCCUCUGAGCCCUCCAAACCCCAGCAGCCGAUCCUCCACGUGCUUCUCUGACACCCUAGCGUUUUCAAUUCUUGUUCGACACCAAGAUUAUUAUCUUGCCCUAUGUAUCUAGGCCAACUUCUUUUAGAAUGCUUCUAAACCGGAUUUAGGCUCCACUGGGGGCAGCUGUGUGGCAUAGGAGGAAGACGCAAUGGGCUAGGGAGCAGGAGGACGCAUCCAGCCCUGCCGGGCAGACCCCGCCCUCGGCAGCUCAUCAGUAAACUGGCAGCAGGACCCGUGCGGGGGGCGGGGAGCGAGGGUCCAAUGCCACCGUGGCUGUGGGCCCAAGGCAGGAGUGAUGUGUGACUGGGGUCAGGUGCCAGGGAACGGGGCCAGGGUUAGGUCUGGGUUGGCUGUGGCUUUUCCAGUGACCCGUGGCCGGCCUCCACACCUGCUGGCUGAGGGUCGGAGCUGCAGAGCCUGUGAGAGGACCAGCCUGAUGCUGAGAUGUGCGGCUGGGAGCUAAGCCGCCCAGCUCCCCCACAAGAGACUCAGAGCCCCAUCAGGUCAGCCUCCGCCCUGUGAGGUCGGGCUCUCUCAGUGACCAGCUCUGACCCAGUCCAAGUAGCUGCUUCUUGGAGGGCCAGGCCCUUCCACGGUCACACUCACGCCUCCCAACAGCCUGGGAACAGAAAUCAUUCCUCCAUUUACAGGAGGAGGAAGCUUGAAAGGGCGCGUGAGCGGCUGAUGUCGGGGCGGGGGGCGGGCGGAGGGCCCUGGGGCUCCACGGGCCCGGCUCCAGGGCUGUGCUCCGUCACGUUGCACAGGGCAGCUCGGUUUCAAGGACCACGCAGCCCGGCCAGAGCUGGGCCUGGAGAUGCCCCGGGACCAGAGCCGGGCCGCCUCCGCACUUGGGAGCCGGGCUGCCUCCGCACUUGGGAGCUGGGCCGCCUCCUUGGUUCAGAGACGCUCCAUCUGAGCUCCACAGAUUCCAGAUGAGAGAAGGGGCUUCCCCCCGCCUCACGCCCUCUACGUGGCUCAGUGCCCGCCCCAGCCCCCAGCUUCAUCCCGCCCCUUCUGUAGAUCCCCCAGCACAGCUGGGUCCCAGGUCUGCAGGGAUGGGCUGGGAGAAGCUGGGGGCAGCAGACAGCACUCUGGCCGGGAACCCAGUUGGAAGGCUUGCUGACCGCAGGGGCCCGCCUGCCCACCACCGUGGGCCCCGCCUGCAGCCUUCCGCCCUGCGUCCCCUCUGUCCUUUGCUUGGGGGUCUGGCAGCCCUCCAUGGACACACCCACCAGCAUCUGAAGGGGAGCUCGGGAGAGGCAAGACUGUGUGCACGCUGACCGUCAGAAGGUCCUGCGUGUGGCGGAGGAGGACGACCUGGACUCGCCCAGAUGGUGAGGGCUGGGCUUCCUUGGAGCCAGCAGGCACGCGUCCCUCGGGCUGGGAGGCCGGCCAGACCUCCCGCGAGGGCCGUGGAGCCACGGCGCGGGGUUGAGGCCCUCCUACCAGCGCGGGCCCUCCUACCAGCGCGGGCCCUCCUACCAGCGCGGGCCCUCCUACCAGCGCGGGCCCUCCUACCAGCGCGGGCCCUCCUACCAGCGCGGGCCCUCCUACCAGCGCGGGCCCUCUGGCGCAUUACCUGUCCUGUCCUGUCCUGGUCCUACUUGCAAAUGAGGGUGACGCUUCAUGUUGAGAACAAGAAGAAAUGGAUGCGGGGCCCCUGGAGCAGAGCCUGCCGCAGAGCUGGCAUUCUGUACAUUGGGCAUUACACUCAUUAAUAACUCCG